UACGUAGGCAGCAAGCGUUGUUCGGAAUUACUGGGCGUAAAGAGUGUGUAGGCGGUGCUCCAAGUCUGGUGUGAAAUCUCCCGGCUUAACUGGGAGGGUGCAUUAGAAACUGGAAUGCUAGAGGAUGGGAGAGGUAAGCGGAAUUCCUGGUGUAGCGGUGAAAUGCGUAGAGAUCAGGAGGAACACCUGUGGCGAAAGCGGCUCACUGGACCAUAACUGACGCUGAUGCACGAAAGCUAGGGGAGCAAACAGG
rnacentral:rRNA from 1 species